AAAAGUUACAAUCAGAUUUUAUGUCUUUUUGUGAAUAGAUAUGAAAUAAAAUUAUUAUGUAUACUCGGAAGGUGUCCAUUUGUGUCGCAUCAAUUUGCAAUGUUUUACACAUUAUUUGUAAAUGGUGUCAAGGGAGAGCCGAAAAUUUAGUCACUGAAAUUUUCUCCUAGGAGCGGAGAUCUAACCAGAAACCUUUGUGUUAGCAGCCCGAUGCACUACCCCUACACCACAGCUCUCC
rnacentral:lncRNA from 1 species